rnacentral:rRNA from 1 species
GAGUUUGAUCAUGGCUCAGGACGAACGCUGGCGGCGUGCCUAAUACAUGCAAGUCGAGCGGACCAAUCCUUCGGGAGCGGUUAGCGGCGGACGGGUGAGUAACACGUAGGUAACCUGCCUGUAAGAUCGGGAUAACUAUCGGAAACGGUAGCUAAGACCGAAUAAUUGGUUCUGGUGCAUGCCGGGACUAUGAAAAGCGGAGCAAUCUGCUACUUACAGAUGGGCCUACGGCGCAUUAGCUAGUUGGUAGGGUAACGGCCUACCAAGGCGACGAUGCGUAGCCGACCUGAGAGGGUGAACGGCCACACUGGGACUGAGACACGGCCCAGACUCCUACGGGAGGCAGCAGUAGGGAAUCUUCCGCAAUGGACGAAGUCUGACGGAGCAACGCCGCGUGAGUGAUGAAGGUUCUCGGAUCGUAAAGC